rnacentral:rRNA from 1 species
GUGGGGAAUCUUAGACAAUGGGGGAAACCCUGAUCUAGCCAUGCCGCGUGAGCGAUGAAGGCCUUAGGGUUGUAAAGCUCUUUCAGCUGGGAAGAUAAUGACGGUACCAGCAGAAGAAGCCCCGGCUAACUCCGUGCCAGCAGCCGCGGUAAUACGGAGGGGGCUAGCGUUGUUCGGAAUUACUGGGCGUAAAGCGCACGUAGGCGGAUCAGAAAGUCAGAGGUGAAAUCCCAGGGCUCAACCUUGGAACUGCCUUUGAAACUCCUGGUCUUGAGGUCGAGAGAGGUGAGUGGAAUUCCGAGUGUAGAGGUGAAAUUCGUAGAUAUUCGGAGGAACACCAGUGGCGAAGGCGGCUCACUGGCUCGAUACUGACGCUGAGGUGCGAAAGCGUGGAGAGCAAACAGGAUUAGAUACCCGUGUAGUCC